rnacentral:rRNA from 1 species
UACGUAGGGGGCUAGCGCUGUCCGGAAUCAUUGGGCGUAAAGAGCUCGUAGGCGGUGUGUCACGUCGGCCGUGAAAACCUGGGGCUUAACUCUGGGCUUGCGGUCGAUACGGGCAUCACUGGAGUUCGGCAGGGGAGACUGGAAUUCCUGGUGUAGCGGUGAAAUGCGCAGAUAUCAGGAGGAACACCGGUGGCGAAGGCGGGUCUCUGGGCCGAUACUGACGCUGAGGAGCGAAAGCGUGGGGAGCGAACAGG